CUCCUAUGUAACUAGAGGCUGUGGGACAAUAGUGUCGGUUAAGCCGUUCAUCAUAGCGGUUAGUAAAGAGCCGGCACUGCUAAUGUGUCAGAUAUGCGUCCUGAGCCCCAUUUUUCUGCAUUUUACCCCAUAGGUGUUGCACUGACACGCUCGACACAUUUAUUUAUUUAUUUUUUUCUUGAUUUACAACCGAAAGGGUAUU